AGAGUUUGAUCAUGGCUCAGAUUGAACGCUGGCGGCAUGCUUUACACAUGCAAGUCGAACGGUAACAGGGAGCUUGCUCCGCUGACGAGUGGCGAACGGGUGAGUAAUGCAUCGGAACGUACCCAGUCGUGGGGAUAACGUAGCGAAAGUUACGCUAAUACCGCAUACGUCCUGAGGGAGAAAGCGGGGGACCGUAAGGCCUCGCGCGAUUGGAGCGGCCGAUGUCGGAUUAGCUAGUUGGUAGGGUAAAGGCCUACCAAGGCGACGAUCCGUAGCGGGUCUGAGAGGAUGAUCCGCCACACUGGGACUGAGACACGGCCCAGACUCCUACGGGAGGCAGCAGUGGGGAAUUUUGGACAAUGGGCGAAAGCCUGAUCCAGCCAUGCCGCGUGAGUGAAGAAGGCCUUCGGGUUGUAAAGCUCUUUCAGCCGGAAAGAAAUCGCGCAGGAUAAUACUCUGCGUGGAUGACGGUACCGGAAGAAGAAGCACCGGCUAACUACGUGCCAGCAGCCGCGGUAAUACGUAGGGUGCGAGCGUUAAUCGGAAUUACUGGGCGUAAAGCGUGCGCAGGCGGUUAUGUAAGACAGAUGUGAAAUCCCCGGGCUCAACCUGGGAACUGCGUUUGUGACUGCAUAACUAGAGUACGGCAGAGGGGAGGUGGAAUUCCGCGUGUAGCAGUGAAAUGCGUAGAUAUGCGGAGGAACACCGAUGGCGAAGGCAGCCUCCUGGGCCAGUACUGACGCUCAUGCACGAAAGCGUGGGGAGCAAACA
rnacentral:rRNA from 1 species